rnacentral:rRNA from 1 species
AACGAACGCUGGCGGCAUGCCUAAUACAUGCAAGUCGAACGAGAUCUUCGGAUCUAGUGGCGCACGGGUGCGUAACGCGUGGGAAUCUGCCCUUGGGUUCGGAAUAACAGCGGGAAACUGCUGCUAAUACCGGAUGAUGACGUAAGUCCAAAGAUUUAUCGCCCAGGGAUGAGCCCGCGUAGGAUUAGGUAGUUGGUGGGGUAAAGGCCUACCAAGCCUACGAUCCUUAGCUGGUCUGAGAGGAUGAUCAGCCACACUGGGACUGAGACACGGCCCAGACUCCUACGGGAGGCAGCAGUAGGGAAUAUUGGACAAUGGGGGCAACCCUGAUCCAGCAAUGCCGCGUGAGUGAUGAAGGCCUUAGGGUUGUAAAGCUCUUUUUCAGGGGAAGAUGAUGACGGUACCCUGAGAAUAAGCCCCGGCUAACUACGUGCCAGCCGCCGCAGUAA